UACGUAGGGUGCAAGCGUUGCCCGGAUUUAUUGGGCGUAAAGGGCGCGUAGGCGGCUCGGCACGUCCGUUGUGAAAUCGCCCGGCUCAACUGGGCGGGGUCAGCGGAUACGGCCGAGCUUGAGCAAGCUAGGGGGCAAUGGAAUUCCUGGUGUAGCGGUGAAAUGCGCAGAUAUCAGGAGGAACACCGGUGGCGAAGGCGGUUCUCUGGGCCUGUACUGACGCUGAGGAACGAAAGCGUGGGGAGCGAACAGG
rnacentral:rRNA from 1 species